GACGAACGCUGGCGGCGUGCUUAACACAUGCAAGUCGAGCGAGGCACCUCCUUCGGGGGGUGACCUAGCGGCGAACGGGUGAGUAACACGUGGGCAACCUGCCCCUAGCACUGGGAUAACCCCGGGAAACCGGGGCUAAUACCGGAUACGACCGCACUGGGCAUCUCGUGCGGUGGAAAGGAUUCCGGCUAGGGAUGGGCCCGCGGCCUAUCAUGCUUGAUGGUGAGGUAACGGCCCACCAUGGCGACGACGGGUAGCCGGCCUGAGAGGGCGACCGGCCACACUGGGACUGAGACACGGCCCAGACUCCUACGGGAGGCAGCAGUGGGGAAUAUUGCGCAAUGGGCGGAAGCCUGACGCAGCGACGCCGCGUGA
rnacentral:rRNA from 1 species